rnacentral:lncRNA from 1 species
CUCGUAGCUUGUUUGAUUCAGACAAGUAAGUUUGAGAAAUAUUUUAUAUCUAGUACCCUAAAGUCAUCUGAUUCGAAAGUUAUUGGUUGAAAACUCGCUACAUUGGUCAGACAGAAAACUUAAGGAAUUAAGGCACUUAAUAGCAGUACAAUAUUAAAAAAAAAAGAGUAAAGUCUAAACAUUGAUCUCCUAUCGAAUAACUGGAUCUCUUAAUCUAAAUAAGCGAUGUGGUUCACAUCAAAAAGUGGACAAUAUGAAGAUAUUUUAUAAUAAAUGA